rnacentral:rRNA from 1 species
GAUCAUUACAGUUUUCAUUUGCCAGCGCUUAACUGCGCGGCGAAAAACCUUACACACAGUGUCUUUUUGAUACAGAACUCUUGCUUUGGUUUGGCCUAGAGAUAGGUUGGGCCAGAGGUUUAACAAUACACAAUUUAAUUAUUUUUACAGUUAGUCAAAUUUUGAAUUAAUCUUCAAAACUUUCAACAACGGAUCUCUUGGUUCUCGCAUCGAUGAAGAACGCAGCGAAAUGCGAUAAGUAAUAUGAAUUGCAGAUUUUCGUGAAUCAUCGAAUCUUUGAACGCACAUUGCGCCCUCUGGUAUUCCAGAGGGCAUGCCUGUUUGAGCGUCAUUUCUCUCUCAAACCCCCGGGUUUGGUAUUGAGUGAUACUCUUAGUCGGACUAGGCGUUUGCUUGAAAAGUAUUGGCAUGGGUAGUACUGGAUAGUGCUGUCGACCUCUCAAUGUAUUAGGUUUAUCCAACUCGUUGAAUGGUGUGGCGGGAUAUUUCUGGUAUUGUUGGCCCGGCCUUACAACAACCAAACAAGUUUGACCUCAAAUCAGGUAGGAAUACCCGCUGAACUUAAGCAUAUCAAUAAGCGGAGGA